rnacentral:rRNA from 1 species
CAACAGUGGAGCCUGCGGUUAAUCGGACUCAACGCCGGGAAACUCACCAGAUAAGACAGCUGAAUGAUAGUCGGGCUGAAGACUCUACUUGACUAGCUGAGAGGAGGUGCAUGGCCGUCGUCAGUUCGUACUGUGAAGCAUCCUGUUAAGUCAGGCAACGAGCGAGACCCACGCCAACAGUUGCCAGCUCGUCCUCCGGGAUGGUGGGGACACUGUUGGGACCGCCUCUGCUAAAGAGGAGGAAGGAAUGGGCAACGGUAGGUCAGCAUGCCCCGAAUUAUCUGGGCUACACGCGGGCUACAAUGGGUGGGACAAUGGGUAUCGACACCGAAAGGUGAAGGCAAUCUCCUAAACCCAUCCGUAGUUCGGAUUGUGGGCUGCAACUCGCCCACAUGAAGCUGGAAUCUGUAGUAAUCGUGUCUCAAAAUGGCACGGUGAAUAUGUCCCUGCUCCUU